AGACGUUUAGAGCAGCACUUUCUUCAUAAAGGAUGCAUAGCAUGUUAGUAACUGGGAUUGUUUUCGUAUUUUUCUGUAGACAGUCCCGGAGCCAGCAACAUGCCGUAUUCCAGAAAGAAAAAGCAGCCACUGCGACCCAGGGACAGACUGUGGUAUUAACUGCCUCUUACCAGACAACCAGUACUAACCCCAAUCUAUUUUGGUAUCGCCAGUAUUCCGGACGGGGCAUAGAAUAUUUGCUGCAUGCAGACACCUUCGAUGGAGUGUAUGGCAAAGAUGACAAGGAAAAGUCCAGAUUUAACAUAACCGUGGAUAGCAAGGAGAAAACAACACAGCUCUUCAUUGUAAACAUUGUACCGUCGGACUCGGCAGUCUAUUACUGUGCUGUGAGCGACACAGUGAUGGGUUUGCAAUCAGCUAGAUGCAUAAAAACUAGCGUGUGGUUCCUCUAGCUUUAUUGUAACAUGCUGCCUAGUGCCUACUAUACCUAUUAACCUCUUAUUGUCAGAAAUCUUGACAAAGCCUAAAAUAAUGUAGUGGCAAAUGCCCAAAUAAGGGACAGAUUUAAAUAUUGCUCUUAUAAACUAAACAAUGCUAGAAUAACAAGAUUUGUAUUAACAUACAUUUU